AGAAUAGGAAUUUAAUAAAAAAAAACCUCAACUUUGGCCAGAUCCAUUUUUAAACCCUGAACUAUGUUUUUAGUAAAACAAACUCUGAAUUAAAACCAGUUAAUAAACUUAACCCCACAGUAAUUAAACAACGAGACGUUUGUAUUUAACGCCAAAACCACAUGAAGUUUGCUUGCCAUAGACCACACUAAACUCGUGUUCAGAAAAAACUCCAAAUCGUAAAACCCUAAUCUGUCAUAAAUCCAACGAUGUUGAACGAGAAGUGAAAGUAGGCUUAUAAGGCGAU
rnacentral:sRNA from 1 species